rnacentral:tRNA from 1 species
CAAGUUAAUCUUAAUAGUUAAGGUUUUCAUUUACAUUGAAAAUUUAGUUGUGCAAUUCGACAUAACUUGA